rnacentral:misc_RNA from 1 species
AAGACUAUAGACCUGCGGAGUACCUGCGGAAGGAUCAUUACAGAGUUAUCAAACUCCUAAACCCUUUGUUAAUUUACCUAUUUGUUUCUUCGGCAGGUGGUCCCUGGGAGGGUCCUGCAGCCUGUUAAGGUACCUGCCGAAGGUCAUAACUCGGUUUUACAUUAUGUGUCUAAGUCUUACUAUAAAAUAAGUCAAAACUUUCAGCAACGGAUCUCU